rnacentral:lncRNA from 1 species
UAUCUACUACCAGACAUAAUUGAAUCUAUGGGAUUAUACAAUAAAAGAAUUUGAUCUUGGAUUGUUUAAUUGGGCUCAUAGAGACUCAAUUAGAUUAGGAUUUGAUGAAAUUCUAUUGGGUUUAAGAAAACUAUGCUAGCAUAUGGUUAAACUCAAAUCCUCUUGGGCUUGGACUUUCUAUUAAAUAGGCUUGACUAAGUCAAAUACUUUUGAUUUAUUUUUUACAUAAAAUUUAUGGAGAAAAUUAGAUGUAGGCACC